UCCAUUGUAUUGACACAAAACCACAGAGACAUUUCUCAAAAUAUCUUCUUUUGUGUUCCACCAAAGUAAGAGUCAUUUUUACCACAUGAGGGGAAAUAAAUGAUGACAGAAACCCUUUAAGUAGAUAUUUUUUGAUAGAUGCUAUUUGUAAAUUAGCAUUCCUUGUUUGCACUGGCAAACUCUUCCAUGACUGCAAGUAAGAAAAACUAAUCCAUAAUCAAAAUAAGUCAUUUUGCAACAGUUAGAAAAGAAAAUUGACAGCUGUCAGAGAUGCUAGAGAUUGUGGGAGCUUUUACAACUGUUAUGCAGGUUGCCAUGACAACACUACCACUUUGCUUUAUUUUAAAACUUAAGACAUUUCACUUUUGCUGUUUGGUUUUUGGUUGAUACUGUGCCGUCUUGGUAUGUCCAAACAUGAUGUUGUGCAGAUAUACACACUGUUGUGACCAAAACAUCUGUGCAGAUGAUGAUGAAUCUUGUAGUCUGGGGCUGGAGAAUCUCUGGAGGCGUGUGUCCUCGUUUAUCUGUCGUCCACUCACAGUAGAUCCAAGAAUGACAUUUGAGGAGAUGAUGGCCUAUCCUUCCUCCAUGCCGUGGCCGUACUUCUCUUGGCAGAUAAUGCCCACGAUUGAGAGCCCCAGAUCAUCAUGGGUCUGGAGGGAUCUGGAGAGAUAUCAGUUCUUGCUACAACAGAUCCAAACCAGCUCUCAGCUGAGCCACAGAGAUAAUGAGAAACCAUGACAUUCAGAUCCAUGUGUGAAAAAUGACAUUCAGGGUCAGAGCAUACAUUCUUCAUCAUGAUGAAGCAAGCACGCCACCUUGUGGACAUAUAGUCACAUUACCCAAGUAUUCAGCUUGGUUAUUUAUACAGCAAACUUUCAUCCAAUUAAAACGAAUGAGGCAUACA